rnacentral:lncRNA from 1 species
GUUCUGUGACCCUGAUCUGGCAGUGGGAUUCUUCUGGAGUCCUCUGGAGUCUCAUGGGCAGGGCCACACAGCUCUCCUGGGACUGAGUUACCACCUGGGGUAGGAUAGUGCCCGUCUGCGCUGCCCAGGCUCCCCAAUUCAUGUGAGGUGAACUGGUGGGAAUAUUUAUCAGCAAAUGCUAUGACCCGGGGCUCUUUCCCCCUGGAGAGCCAGCUGUUCCACAGUGACCAGCACACCAUGCUAAGGAGCCCUUUCCCCAGUUACCACCGCACCUCGCCAUGACAAUACCUCUACUUCAGGAAUGCUCUGAAAAUACUGUCUGCGGAUGAUUCUGCUGGGUCCCGAGCCCUCUCCUCUCUUCUGUAUGGACCCACCCAACCAAGUCUGGCUCAAUUUCAUCCGCUCGCACAGGUUACCUCUUAGAAGCCACAUUAAAAUCCC